rfam:Gymnopus luxurians FD-317 M1 unplaced genomic scaffold GYMLTscaffold_9, whole genome shotgun sequence.
ACACCGUUGGUGAAGUGGUUAUCAUGCUUGCCUUCCAUGCGGACGCCACACCACACACGUGAGCAAGCGGCUCGGGUUCGAUUCCCGAACGGUGUA